CUGGGGCCGAUCGGAGACGGCGGAAGCUGCGGUGACGGCGAAGGGGAGGACUCGGGGACGUCUGCGGAGAAUGUAGGGUUUGGGAAGAAGAGGAGAGCGAAGAAGAUGGUUAGAGAGAGAGAGUGGGUGAUGAUCGAAGCCAUAUUUGGAGAGAGAUCUGAAGAAGAAGAAAAGGUUUGAAAAGUUGGUUAUAGAGAAUGUAAAGAGAUUAGAUAUAUUUGAGAGUGAUUGAAGUAGAGUACAAGUCUUUUAUUAGAAGAAGUUGAAGGUGUGAGGGAGAGUGGUGAUAGCAUGUGUUAGUGGGAGAGAGAAAAUGAGAUACGUAGAGAGAGAAAGAGAGAAUUAUAGUAGUAGUAAUAGAUACACAUUUCACCUAUGCUUGUGUUGUGUAUAUAAAUAUGAGAGAGAGAGACGAGACGAGUAAAAGCGGGGCGAAG
rnacentral:lncRNA from 1 species